GGUCAAGUUAGUAAGGGUCCACGGUGGAUGCCUUGGGGCCAAGAGCCGAAGAAGGGCGUGGCAAGACUGCGAAAAGCCCCGGUCAGCUGUCUAGCGAGCUUAACCGGGGAUUCCCGAAUGGGGAAACCCCCCUUGGGUCAAUCCAAGGGACCCCGAUUUAUCGGGGGGGUAAGCGGGUGAACUGAAACAUCUAAGUAACCCGAGGAAAAUAAAUCAACCGAGAUUCCCAAAGUAGUGGCGAACGAAAUGGGAAUAGCCCAAACCUUCCGGGCUUAGUGGGCUGAGGCCCUAUGUCCGGAGGGGGUUGUAACACACACCUGUUCCAGCCUCAGGAGGAGCAAGGAGUAAGAAACUCGUUCCUUAGCCGAAUGAUCCUGGAAAGGACGACCGGAGAAGGUGAUAGUCCUGUACGCGAAAGGGAGCGAGCUCCUGGUGUGCUGUUGAGUACCACGGGACACGUGAAAUCUUGUGGGAAGCUGGGGAGACCACUCUCCAAGGCUAAAUACUCUUGGCCACCGAUAGUGAACCAGUACCGUGAGGGAAAGGUGAAAAGUACCCCAGAUGGGGAGUGAAAUAGACCUGAAACCGUGGACUUACAAGCCGUGGGAGCCCCGAUUCGUUGGGGUAACUGCGUGCCUUUUGAAGAAUGAGCCGGCGAGUUAAUCUAGGCAGCUUGGUUAAGGAACAUGAGUUCCGGAGCCGAAGCGAAAGCGAGUCCGAAUAGGGCGUGCCGCGGGCGGCGGCAAAGCCUGCGGAGGAAGCCCGUAUUGACGCACCCUUGUGUGCCAAAGUGCUUUAGGGCACUGGAAGCACUGAUGGGGUGUUGACGUGCGGUGCGAAUCCAAAGGUCGCGCUGCCAUUAUGCCUGCAGUGUUGUCUGGAUUAGACCCGAAACCGGGUGAGCUACCCAUGGCCAGGCUGAAACCCCGAUAAUAUCGGGGCGAAGGGCCGAACCCGUGUCUGGUACAAAAGGCUGGGAUGAGCUGUGGGUAGAGGUGAAAUGCCAAUCGAACUCGGAGAUAGCUGGUUCUCCCCGAAAUGUAUUUAGGUACAGCCUCAAGGUAGUCUGGGGGAGGUAGGGCACUGGAUGGGCUAGGGGGCGUGAGCCUACCAAACCCAACCAAACCACGAAUGCCCCUAGAUGGUCCUUGGGAGUGAGACAGUGGGGGAUAAGCUCC
rnacentral:rRNA from 1 species